rnacentral:rRNA from 1 species
CGUACACUCCUGCGGGAGGCAGCAGUGGGGAAUUUUGGACAAUGGGCGAAAGCCUGAUCCAGCCAUGCCGCGUGCAGGAUGAAGGCCUUCGGGUUGUAAACUGCUUUUGUACGGAACGAAACGGCCUUUUCUAAUAAAGAGGGCUAAUGACGGUACCGUAAGAAUAAGCACCGGCUAACUACGUGCCAGCAGCCGCGGUAAUACGUAGGGUGCAAGCGUUAAUCGGAAUUACUGGGCGUAAAGCGUGCGCAGGCGGUUAUGUAAGACAGUUGUGAAAUCCCCGGGCUCAACCUGGGAACUGCAUCUGUGACUGCAUAGCUAGAGUACGGUAGAGGGGGAUGGAAUUCCGCGUGUAGCAGUGAAAUGCGUAGAUAUGCGGAGGAACACCGAUGGCGAAGGCAAUCCCCUGGACCUGUACUGACGCUCAUGCACGAAAGCGUGGGGAGCAAACAGGAUUAGAAACCCCUGUAGUCCCAUGAU